rnacentral:rRNA from 1 species
CACGCCGCGGGAAUACAGAGGGUGCGAGCGUUAAUCGGAUUUACUGGGCGUAAAGCGUGCGUAGGCGGCUAAUUGAGUCGGAUGUGAAAUCCCCGAGCUUAACUUGGGAAUUGCAUUCGAUACUGGUUAGCUAGAGUGUGGGAGAGGAUGGUAGAAUUCCAGGUGUAGCGGUGAAAUGCGUAGAGAUCUGGAGGAAUACCGAUGGCGAAGGCAGCCAUCUGGCCUAACACUGACGCUGAGGUACGAAAGCAUGGGGAGCAAACAGGAUUAGAUACCCCCGUAGUCCCUGUCUCUUAUACAC